rnacentral:rRNA from 1 species
UAGUGAGUUUGAUCCUGGCUCAGGAUGAACGCUGGCGGUCUGCUUAACACAUGCAAGUCGAACGCAAGUAGAAAUACUUGAGUGGCGGACGGGUGAGUAACGCGUGAGAAUCUGCCUUCUGGUCGGGGACAACCACUGGAAACGGUGGCUAAUACCGGAUAUGCCUAUGGGUGAAAGAUUUAUCGCCUCGGGAUGAGCCCGCGUAGGAUUAGCUAGUUGGAGGGGUAACCGGCCCACCAAGGCGACGAUCCUUAGCUGGUCUGAGAGGAUGAUCAGCCACACGUGGGACUGAGA